rnacentral:lncRNA from 7 species
AUCCUUUCCUCACCUGCUGCGCCGCCGGCCCGGACACCACCAUGGAAGCAGAUCCGCCGCCGGAGAGUGCGACGGAGGAGGAGGCGGGCACGACAGUCCUGGGGUAGGAGAUCCCUAAAGUAAGUACCAAAUCACCAGCAGAUUUUAGUCCAUGGACACCAGCUUUAGGAGUGGCAGAACAUGCAUCACUUGCUAAGCUAGCAAUCUGAAUUUUUUUUCGUGACCUUCAUAUCGUUGGUGCUCUACAGAGAAAG